UCAAAUAUCUAAUCUUUUGCCUAGACUACGAUGAUAAACUCGAAGAGAUACGGAAGGAGUAUGGUUCCGGGUGCAUGCUAACAGGUGAAGUGAAGCAACUGCUUGUUGAAGUUUUGACAGAAUGGUAGAAAGACAUCGUAGGGCUAGGGCUGCAGUGACUGAUGAGAUGGUGGACGCAUUCAUGGCGGUGGUGAGGCCC